UAGGAAACAUUUUUUGAUGAAUUCGUUUUAGCUCAUAUUAUUGGAUGGUGGGGUAAAGCUAUAUUGCUUCGUAAUCAGCCUCUUCUUUGGGUGCUAUCAAUUGGAUUUGAGAUGAUGGAGCUUACCUUCCGUCACAUGCUACCAAAUUUUAAUGAAUGCUGGUGGGACAGUAUUGUUCUUGAUAUUUUGAUCUGCAACUGGUUUGGUAUUUGGGCAGGAAUGCAUAUUGUUAGGUACUUUGAUGGAAAAAUGUACAAGUGGGUUGGGAUAAGCCGUUAGCCUAAUAUUAUUGGAAAAGUAUGCUCUAAGUUUGGUGUUUUAGUUUUGAAUAUUUAAUGGAGAGUUAAUAUUAUUGGAAAAGUAUGCUCUGAUUUUGGUGUUUUAGUUUUGAAUAUUUAAUGGAGAGUUACCAAGUUGUAGCAAGAAGUUGAAAA